rnacentral:tRNA from 1 species
AAGCGCGUAGUUUAACAAGAACGUCAGGGCUUCACCUUGAAGGUACUGGUACCAGUAGCGCUCU